UUUUUUAUAGAGACAUGUCUUGCUGUGGUUGCGCAGGCUGGUCUUGAACUCCUGGGUUCAAGCGAUCCUCUUGCAUCAGCCUCCCAAAGUGCUGGGAUUAUAGGCAUGAGCCACUGUAUCUGGACUCACUUAGAGGAGUCUAAUGUGAAUGGCCCAAUAUCUUCCAAUAAGAAAGUCUUCUGUCAACUCUACUAAACCACAGAUUUAAUCAGAAAAGUGGCAUUUCCAAGUUUUUAUUUAAUAAAGUUCAUGUUGAAACUUGGGUAGGGAAAAUUGGUAAAUAAGUAGGUAGAUGGACAGGACCUGGUGGCCAGUUAUAUUUGAUUAAUGAUAGGAAAGAAGUAUCUAGGUAUAAUGCCUGGGUUUUUAGGAAACUACGAGGGUUGAUAGGGUCAGAGAAAAUAUAUAUGUAGUGUUAGAAGAACCUUGGUGAAACCAACCUUUUAGGUGUAAAGGAUUAAGUAGAUUCAAAAGAUACUGCAUUUUCAGAAGUCAAAAACUAGUGGAGAGUGGUAAUCGCAAUGGAAGAAAAUGCCAAGAGGGAAGGAGAAAGUGACCUAGAUCAGAAAGACUUAGGAAGGUCAAUGCAAAGUGUGUUUAUUAGAUUUGUUAAUUGCCAAAGCCUUAAGAUAGAAUGAGAUUGCCUUCAUUCACUUUCAGCAAAGCCAAGGGCGUUGUCUUUCCCUUUUCAUAUCUGGGACCUCAUUUUAUUUCAAUUUUAUUUGUCUCAAAUCAAGAUAGUAGGAAUAAUGAAUUACUGUUCAUUCUGAUUUUUUGGUACUUGCAAAAGUAUGUGUAUGUUUUUAAACACUCCCCCAACUUCCAGACUUUUAUAAGAUUGGGAAAAUAGCACAGAUAAUGUAAUACUGAUUGGCCUUAGAGCCAGUGACCCUGGACAACUCACCUAACCUUUCUGAGUUUCCCAUAUUUCCCUUUUUAUCUUCCCCUUCACUUACAUGGGUGAAUUACAAAAAAAGUUUUACUACCCUAACAUCAGGAAGGUCAUUAUAAUGUAGUAGCAAAGAGCAUAGACUCUAAAGCCAAACUGUCUCUUUGUGAAUCUUGGCUCUGCCACUUACCUGUGUGUCCUGGGGAAAGUUAACUUUAUGGGCCCCUGUUUCCUCAACUGUGAUAUUAGGAUACUUUCAGUGUUCACCUCUAAGAGUUGUAGGGAGUCAACGAGUAAACACAUGUAAGGCACCUUUUAGAAAGCUGCCUCCUACAUAGUAACCUUUCUAAAUCUUUGCUGCUGUUACCAUUAUGACAUUAUCAUGAUACCAGUAUCAUCCUCAGUCAACAAACGAUAGAUAACUCAGAGAAUGAAAAGGUUGUUCCUUUAUAUAGUUUCCCUAGAAUCACCUUGUACCACUGCUGCUGAGUUGCAAUCAUUCGUUAGUCGUAUGUGACCUAGAUUCCAUUUUCUAAGAUUAUUCAACAAUGUAGAGGAUCAGCGUAGUGGAAAUACGUCUAUAAACAUUUCUAAGAAUUGAAUUCAUUGUAAUUAAUAGCAUCAGAGAAGCUGAAAAUCCAAAGAGCUAAUCUCUUAACUUCAUGAUGGAGGACAAAGAUUUUAUCUUUUGGAAUUUUAAUAAUGUUUCCAGCAUGAGAUUAGCCUUCAAUAUUGAUUUCUGGAAUUCUGUUUUCCCUUGUUUUUCAUUGAUUAACCUAAAACUUUUGAGAUGUAGUUCAUAUUUUUGGUAAUAUUGCUAUGAUUAUAUAACUGUAACUGUCUAGAAUUUAAUUUCUAGCAAGGGAAAUUUAAGCCUUUUCCUCAGAAUUAUUUUUCAUGGGAAAAUUCUUACUGAUAGAUUACUGGACUUGAGUCAUAAUUUAUUGGUUAUCUUAUUCUGCCCUAUCUACUCUCAGCACUAAUUAUAAAAAUAAUCAAAGAAA
ensembl:lncRNA novel transcript, sense intronic to POU2F1